AGAGUUUGAUUCUGGCUCAGGAUGAACGCUAGCGAUAGGCCUAACACAUGCAAGUCGAGGGGCAGCACAUGAAGUAGCAAUACGGAUGGUGGCGACCGGCGCACGGGUGAGUAACGCGUAUGCAACCUGCCUACAACAGGGGAAUAACCCGUUGAAAGACGGACUAAUACCCCAUAACACAGGGAUCCCGCAUGGGAAUGUUUGUUAAAGAUUUAUCGGUUGUAGAUGGGCAUGCGUUCCAUUAGCUGGUUGGUGAGGUAACGGCUCACCAAGGCAACGAUGGAUAGGGGAACUGAGAGGUUUAUCCCCCACACUGGUACUGAGACACGGACCAGACUCCUACGGGAGGCAGCAGUGAGGAAUAUUGGUCAAUGGACGCAAGUCUGAACCAGCCACGUCGCGUGAAGGAAGACGGCCCUACGGGUUGUAAACUUCUUUUGUAAGGGAAUAAAGUGCAGUACGUGUACUGUUUUGCAUGUACCUUACGAAUAAGGAUCGGCUAACUCCGUGCCAGCAGCCGCGGUAAUACGGAGGAUCCGAGCGUUAUCCGGAUUUAUUGGGUUUAAAGGGUGCGCAGGCGGGAGAUUAAGUCGGCGGUGAAAUUUUGCAGCUCAACUGUAAAAGUGCCUUCGAAACUGGUUUUCUUGAGUGUGGAUGAAGUAGGCGGAAUUUGUGGUGUAGCGGUGAAAUGCAUAGAUAUCACGAGGAACUCCGAUUGCGCAGGCAGCUUACUAAACCAUAACUGACGCUCAGGCACGAAGGCGUGGGGAUCAAACAGGAUUAGAUACCCUGGUAGUC
rnacentral:rRNA from 1 species